GCACGCAGCCGGCCGCGCUGACACUCCGUAGACCCGGAGGCUCCAAGGCCACCGGCGCCGGGCCGCCCGUCCCUAAGAGGGUCUCUCCGUCAGAACGCGGCUCUUGUUUAAAAUCAUGUCGGUGAUUCUUCGGAGCGUUCCCUUCAGGGCGCCCUGAGAGCGUUCCCAAUCACGCAGACAAACGUCUGGGGAAGCGCCGGUUUUGAGCAUCUCUAAAGUAUUGGCAGUUGCACGUAAAGUGAAGGGAGUUUCUGCGAGUGGAAAAAUAUCGUUAACUGAGAUCCAAGCGGUGGUGAGUUUUCCACCUGGAAAAAAGUGAGUGCUGCAGAACACCAACUGCUCUGAACACCACCCAUAAAGUAGAUCUCAGUUAAGAGCUAAGCAGAAAGCCAAUUUAAAAGUUUUCAUCACCUCUCAUUUGUGGGCUCAAACUCCCUCUCCUGGACUAAACUGGCACUGCCAUUUAAUAACUAUACAUUUCAAUAAGUACUAUAAAAAAAGUCAUAAAUGAAAACCCAUUACCACCACUAAAAGUAAUAAAAUUAGAAAACUUUGAAAGCUGACAUGGUCAACUUUCAUUUUAAGAACAGGACCAUGCUUGUAACAAGAGGAAUUUGUCCAGACUAGCAAAAGCUUUCUUUGUAGGUGAGACCAUUGCAGUAUUUUGAUAGUGUCGGUGCAUUCUGGCCUACUGAUUUUGCGUACUCGAGCACUGAAGGAAGAAAGAAAAAGGAAAAAAAAAAAAGAAAA